rnacentral:ncRNA from 1 species
GAGGGACUGCCAGUGAGAUACUGGAGGAAGGUGGGGAUGACGUCAAGUCCGCAUGGCCCUUAUGGGCUGGGCCACACACGUGCUACAAUGGCAAUGACAAUGGGAAGCAAGGCUGUAAGGGGGAGCGAAUCCGGAAAGAUUGCCUCAGUUCGGAUUGUUCUCUGCAACUCGGGAACAUGAAGUUGAAAUCGCUAGUAAUCGCGGAUCAGCAUGCCGCGGUGAAUAUGUACCCGGGCCCUGUACACACCGCCC